ensembl:lncRNA
CACCUGUAUUUGCUUGCGUAUUUUAUAAGGAAGAAAAGUUUCAUAGUGAAGCGUCGCCGUGUGUUUGGUCACUUCAGCGCAGCGGUGGAGUCCGCACAGGCAUCAUGGAGAAUGUGGCCGUCCCUAUUGUUGCAAUUCUGGCUAUUGUUACUCUGACCUCUGGAGCUGUUUUUCCUGAACGUCCCGGAGCCAACGGCCCCCGCAUUACUCCUCCUGAAGCAGAUGAGGAAACAUUAUGUGGUUAUAAUGAGACCUGUGUCCUGCCCUGUCGCUUCACCCCUGGUUCUUAUCUUGACAUCCUAUGGACAAUAGAUGAACAAACUGUGGACAGGCAGCUGCCUGUCCACAGUUUUCCUCACAGUCAGAAACACAGUGGGAAAUACAGCGGCAGGACUUCUCUGUUUGAAGAGGAGAUGAACAGAGGAAAUGCUUCACUGCUGCUCAGAGACGUCACACUCAAAGACCAAGGACGGUACUUGUGUGUGGCCAACGAUCAAGAGACUUAUGUCAACAUGAAGGUCUUUGCUCCAGUUUCGCAGGUGCAGGUUUACUCCAUCAGUGGAGACCUGUACUGUCAGGCUGACAAUAUCUAUCCAGAGCCUUCAUUGAAGUGGACCAAGAACUCUGAUCCUACCACAGAACCUCAGACCGCUGUGUAUCGCAGAGAGACAGGAUUGUACUCUGUGUACAGCUCUGUACGUCUGCCGCCCGACCCUCCUUAUGAAUACAUUUGUACAGUCGGCACUGUAUACAGCACGAACAGCACGACGUACGAGGAGACAGCUCCAGAGAAUCAUAACCUCCACUACCUCUGGAUAUUGGCCGUGAUUCUUUUCGCAGUCGUGUGUUUCCUAAUCUUCUACUGUCAGAAGAAGAAAAAGAACAUCUCACUUCCUAGAACUCCUCCUACCUCAGGGGAUGAAGAAUCCGGCAGCCGUGACCCUUUAAAUUCAGGCGGGAACAGUGAGCCUCUACCGCCAAGUGAGAACGGUCACGCAAACGGCCUGGACAAGGAAACUUCAAUGUGAAUCUCCACUUAACAAGAAACCUCAGAAGAGAGGACAGGGUAGAUGUUGACUUUAUGCACAUGUGGUCUGAACAUUUUAGUUUUUAAUUAGAGGAAACUGCAAAGAAUAAGCAUAAGGUCAGUAUCAACAUAUUACAAUAUGAAUUGUUUUGUUUGUUUUUUUCCACAAUGAGCUGGUGCUCAAAGGCAGCUUUCCCUCCCGCCAAAGCAUUUGCCAAAGAGCUGUGCCAUGUGAGAUCUUACUCCAUGAAGGAGUUUAUUAUUGUUCGUUAAUAGUUAUUGAGAAUGAUAGGAUCAUCAUUUAUGUAGUCUCCUCGGAUUGCGCUGCUGCUUUUUGGUAUUUUAGGAUUUACAUACCAUUAAAUUAUUUAAAAAUGUAAAGCUAUGAAUGUGUUUACAGAGACUAUGGAGGGUCACAGCACUGAAUCGUUCUCAUUGUUUCAUUCAAUCAUUCUGUGACAUCACAUUCCCUCCAUUGUCUUAAUAUACAGUUUCUCAUGAAACAUUUUAAAGCACUAAUUUCAACAGAUUUUAUUGAUCACAGUAUUUUCUAAAGAGUAAUUUUUGGAAUGUUUUUCUCUACGCACACAAUGUAUUCACACUGUACUGUAAGGUUUUAUCUAAAAUGCACUUUUUCCAGAGGUGGGUAGUACUCUGUUACCUUAACUCAAGUAGUUUUUUUACUGUACAUUUUACUCUUGAGUAAUUAUUUUGGUACUCUACCCACCUCUGACUAUGACACUUCUUAUAUCUUUGUUGUUUUUUGACAACAUGAUCAGGCAUAUAUAUAUAUAUUUUUAAGCCAAAUAUAUGUACAUGUUAUAAUAUUUGUUUUUUAAAUACUGCAUAUACAUAUUUUUGUGUGAACAUGUAAAUGCUGUUUGGAAUGGACCCAGGAAGACUAGCUGACUGCUUAUUGCUCUUAAUGGGAUCCAUAUAAAUAAACAAAAAAAUAGGGGAGCUUAGAGUAUAGCGUAUAAAGUAUUCUAUACUCUAAGACAUCAAAUAAUGGUUUGAUCAUACUCAGCUACAUUUAUACAAGUACCUGAUAAACUUGACUUUUUGUUGUAAAAAAAACUCAACUCUGACAAUGUUCAAAUCCAGGCUGAAAACGGCUCUUUUUACCCGUGCAUAUGAAAACUGAAAGUAUUUUAUCUGCACUCUUGCCUUUUACUGUAAUUGAUUAGCUUUAUGUUGUUUUAUUGAUUGAUUUGAUCUGUUUUCUUGUAAUUUUAUGCAACUGUGAAUUGCCUUGUGUAUGAAUUGUGCUCUACAAAUAAACUUGCCUUGCCUUGUAUCACGCUUUAGUUUUUGUUUCUGCUUGAGUAAUACUGGUUUAUUUUGAAUUACAGGUAAAUGUUACUUUAACCAUUGUUAGUAAAUCUGGCAAAAACAUAUGAAACUGAAUAAAUAUAAACAUGAUUUUAU